AACGUAGGACGCAAGCGUUAUCCGGAGUUACUGGGCGUAAAGGGCGUGUUGGCGGCUUUUCAAGUUCGUCGUGAAAGACCCCGGCUAAACCGGGGGAGGUCGAGGGAGACUGAGAAGCUGGAGGGCGGCAGAGGGACAGGGAAUUCCGGGUGUAGUGGUGAAAUGCGUAGAGAUCCGGAGGAACACCAGUGGCGAAGGCGCUGUCCUGGGCCGCAACUGACGCUGAGACGCGAAAGCAUGGGGAGCGAACGGG
rnacentral:rRNA from 1 species